rnacentral:rRNA from 1 species
UCUGCCCCCGGGCAGGCCUAACCUCCCACCCGUGAAUACCUGACCAACGUUGCUUCGGCGGUGCGCCCCCCCGGGGGUAGCCGCCGGAGACCACAUUGAACCUCUUGUCUUUAGUGUUGUCUGAGCUUGAUAGCAAACCUAUUAAAACUUUCAACAAUGGAUCUCUUGGUUCCGGCAUCGAUGAAGAACGCAGCGAACUGCGAUAAGUAAUGUGAAUUGCAGAAUUCAGUGAAUCAUCGAGUCUUUGAACGCACAUUGCGCCCCCUGGCAUUCCGGGGGGCAUGCCUGUCCGAGCGUCAUUGCUGCCCUUCAAGCCCGGCUUGUGUGUUGGGUCGUCGUCCCCCCUGGGGGACGGGCCCGAAAGGCAGCGGCGGCACCGCGUCCGGUCCUCGAGCGUAUGGGGCUUUGUCACCCGCUCGAUUAGGGCCGGCCGGGCGCCAGCCGGCGUCUCCAACCUUCUAUUUUACCAGGUUGACCUCGGAUCAGGUAGGGAUACCCGCUGAACUUAAGCAUAUCAAUA